rnacentral:lncRNA from 1 species
GAGGCUGAUGACCUCAUGUAAGCUGUGGAAGAAUUCCAGUGUAGCUGGGGAGAUAAUAAGUAAGCAGGUCCUUUCACUGUAAUAAAACAGGAUGCAAUAAGAUAAAAUGUUAUUACAGAAAUGAUUUCUAAUGUAAAAAAAACUUUUUAAAACCAAUUAAAACUAUGUAAAUGGCCAGUUGUAGGAUGAGCUAGGAUUCGUCACUGUUACAUGUUAAUUAUUAUUAUAGUUAGUUAUUAGUUAUUGAACUAUCACUAUUUUACCAUGAUUACACAAAGCCAUGGAAAAUAAUUACAUCUAGGAAGAUCAUAAAAUGCCUUGACUUUAUAUACUGUGGUUUUAUCAAAUAUAUAUUUAGUCU